AGUGAACGUUGGCGGUAGGCCUAACACAUGCAAGUCGAACGGCAGCACAGUAAGAGCUUGCUCUUACGGGUGGCGAGUGGCGGACGGGUGAGGAAUACAUCGGAAUCUACUUUUUCGUGGGGGAUAACGUAGGGAAACUUACGCUAAUACCGCAUACGACCUACGGGUGAAAGCAGGGGAUCUUCGGACCUUGCGCGAUUGAAUGAGCCGAUGUCGGAUUAGCUAGUUGGCGGGGUAAAGGCCCACCAAGGCGACGAUCCGUAGCUGGUCUGAGAGGAUGAUCAGCCACACUGGAACUGAGACACGGUCCAGACUCCUACGGGAGGCAGCAGUGGGGAAUAUUGGACAAUGGGCGCAAGCCUGAUCCAGCCAUACCGCGUGGGUGAAGAAGGCCUUCGGGUUGUAAAGCCCUUUUGUUGGGAAAGAAAAGCAGCAGGUUAAUACCCCGCUGUUCUGACGGUACCCAAAAAAUAAGCACCGGCUAACUUCGUG
rnacentral:rRNA from 1 species